UACGUAGGGGGCAAGCGUUGUCCGGAAUCAUUGGGCGUAAAGCGAGCGUAGGCGGCCCGAUAAGUCUGCUGUAAAAGUCAACGGCUCAACCGUUGAAAGCCGGUGGAUACUGUCGGGCUAGAGUUCGGAAGAGGCAAGUGGAAUUCCUGGUGUAGCGGUGGAAUGCGCAGAUAUCAGGAGGAACACCUAUAGCGAAGGCAGCUUGCUGGGACGAUACUGACGCUAAGGCUCGAAAAGCGGUGGGAGCGAACAGG
rnacentral:rRNA from 1 species